GCACGGGGAGCCGGGUUCGCAAGUCUGGCUGGGCCAACCCCAAACCCAGCAAACACGCUGGGAUCUGUCUUUCCAUGACCCUCUCAGGAUCUUCUGUCUUAUUCCAUCCCACCCCACUCAACUCCUCCGCCUCUACCUAAGGGCAGGCGGGACCAGAGAUUCCAGAGUCCCUGUUUAAAAUGCGGAUACCUGUGGGAAAGGCGACACAUCAAAACUCGGCCAGCCAAUGACACCUGAACACCAAGAGAGUUGGGACUUCCCUGUCACCCUGCUUGUCUUGCCAGGUCCCAGCUCCCUAGGCUGGUGUGGAUUCCAUCCCCGGAAGUCACCGAUUGCUCCAUUGUUCGGCCAGACAAUUAUGUGUCCCUUCAUCCUUGUUGACCUACACUUCUGUUGCUUUUCAAUUAGCAAUAAUCACG